rnacentral:rRNA from 5 species
AAAGUCGUAACAAGGUUUCCGUAGGUGAACCUGCGGAAGGAU